CACGGAAAAGGCUACAUUUACUGCAGUUCUCCAACAAUAUAAAAUGAACUGAAUUCACUUAGUUUCUGUUCCAGCAUCAGAUGGACUUGUGUCUGUCUAAGCUUAGGAAAGAACCAGGACAAACUAAGCUGUGCACUGCUGAAACAGAGAGGAGAAUGAGGAAGAUGUGCUCGGAUUUACAUUCUAGCUAGCUGCAUUAGUUCUAUGAAGGAAGAAUACAAAUGGGUAAAGCUGAUGAAGGAGGAUGGUGAGGAAGGAGCAUAAUCUGCUUGUAAUGCAAAUGGACCAUGAGAUUGGAAUGCUCAAACAAAGAAUUUCAAGCAUUCUUCACCGGGGUGCUGGCACCUUCUGUGUAAUGUGCACUGUGGAUCCUCAGAUCAUGCAACAUCUCAAGUGACAGGGAGCGAAGGUCUCUGUGAGGUAAAGGGCUUCUGCAAAGCACAUGCAAAGCUCCCACUUGCACAGCAGGACAAGUUAAUCGAGAAAGAAAGCUACCUCACAAACCAAGGGAGAAGCACUUCUCCAGGGGGGUGGCAGGAACAACGAACCAGAUCUCUGGAAAGAUGAAUAUGUUUAUUGCCUUUAUCAAGUCUUUCUUUUUCCUCUCUUGUAUGUUCCUGAGGUAUACUGAGCUGCAAUGCUGUUAAGAGGGAGAGGUGUAUUUGUUCUGAGUCAGGACUAGCUCAUAAGAAUGGAUAUAGUGACAGUUUCCAACGUGCCCCAGGCUGUGCCCAUCUGACAUCUCCAGCUGAAUGUCUCUGCAGCUGUCAUGAUUCUUGUUGGCAAGAGUUGGUCACUGAACGCUCCUUCUGAAUGCUGUGGUUGUUUCUCAGGAAUGAUAUUUUGCAUUUGACUGCGUAGUUUUUAGUAGGAACUAAACAGCCAUGCUGAGUCUCCAUAACAUAAUUAUGCCAUUGUCCUAAUCAGUUGCAGACUAUGCAUUGUCUGUCUUGAUCAUUGUGUUCUCAUUACAGUAAUUCUUCAAGAGCUUUACUGGAUACAUAACUCCUGAAUUUAUUUCACAGUUCUUUGUGUCUGCGGCAAUGCCAGUGGUGGAGCUGUGAAACCGAAAUCAGGAAAAGGGAAAAAUGAAAGUAGACCCCUACAGUGACCAACAUUAUUUUUUCAUUUAGAGCAAGUUUUGAUGCAAUUGUAUACUUGCUAUACUGGUUUAAUAAUGUAAAUGCUUACGUAUUUAUAUAAAUUCAGAGAACAAACAGAAUGUAAGACAUUCCAGAAAAGCUUUAUUCCUUGGAAUAAGAGGAAAGUAUAUAUUUAUUUUUCCUUCACCACCUAGUUUGCUGACAUUGCCUAUUGUCUUGUUAUCAUCAGGAGCUGCCUACAUUGCAGAACUGAAGAACUGAAGAGACAUAUUGUGCAAGUAAAUUAGCAGCACACCAGCGGAAAUGCACACUGCAGAAAAUCAGGCAGAACCUGCUAGGACUUGAGGAUAUUUGCACGUGUACCUGUUAUUGAAAAAGAUUUGAUCCAAAUUACUGUGUGAUUUGUGGAAACCUCUGCACCAAACGACACCUCCACAGCUGCAGCUCUUAGUCACAUCUAUUUUGCAUUCACAGCCUGGUACCUGUUCUCAUGUAACGUGUUAUUCUUGGCAUUUCACCAUUUCUGUCUCUAUAUAUUGUACUAAUUAGGCAACCUGAAGCAAUUAUGCAAUGUAAUCAAGCACUAAAAUUUAACACUUCACUGAUAAUUUUAAUAUGGAAAAGCCAUUCUGCUUUCUGAUAGCUUCAUUUGAUUUGAACUCCUUUGAAUAAUAAUGAGGUGAAACAGAGGUCUCUGAGGUAGUGUACUGACUUGAAAGCCAAUCUGAAAAGUGGCACUACAGAUCUAGUUCUCCUAAUAAUUUAUUUCAAAUGGCUAAAAAAACCAAAAAAACAAAAAAACCUGUUAUUUGUGCUUUAUGGUGAAUGAAUGAAAAAAUACACAUGCUUUGCUUAUUUAAACUAAUUGUUGGUAACAAAAUCAAAUUAAAUGCAAAAAGUCCAGAGAACCUGAAACUUGCUUACAUCUAAAGAAAUACAGUAAGCUAAGCAGUGUCUUUACCGUCUUUUCCAUCCCUGCUUUGAGCCAUAUGACUGCGUAAAGGUCUUAUGCUUAUUCUUGUGCUGAAACUCAGACAGUGGAAGAUUUGUGCUUUUCUUUUCAACACUAGCUUCUCUCUCCAAAAAUUUUAUCUGUUAUCACCUGCUGUUAUAUUCAAAAUUUGUGAUUGACGUGCUGUGACUACGUGCACACCAAGGGACUGCAGCUGCUCGACGUAUAUCCUUUCCUCUAGACCCUUCAUCAUCGUUGUAGCCCUCUUUUGGACACUCUUACAGGUUUAUGUCAUUCUCGUACUGUGGCACCCAGUGCUGUAGGUGAGGCUGCACAGUGCAGAGCAGAGGGGGAAGCCAUUCCCCUCACCUGGUGGCAGCACUGGGCCUGCUGCACCUCAGGCUACGGUUGACCUUUUGGGCUCCAGAGCACACUGCUGCCUCAUGUUCAACUCACUGUUAGACAGAACCCCGCAAUCCCUUCCCACAGGGCUACUCUCCAAAUUCUCAUCCCCAGUCUGUAUGUAC